rnacentral:rRNA from 1 species
UACGUAGGGUGCAAACGUUGCUCGGAAUCAUUGGGCGUAAAGCGCACGUAGGCGGUCCAGCAAGUCGGGUGUGAAAGCCCAGGGCUCAACCCUGGAAGUGCACAUGAUACUACGGAGCUUGAGUACUGAAGAGGAGAGCGGAAUUCCCGGUGUAGAGGUGAAAUUCGUAGAUAUCGGGAGGAACACCAGUGGCGAAGGCGGCUCUCUGGGCAGAUACUGACGCUGAGACGCGGAAAGCAUGGGGAGAGCAAACAGGGAUUAAGAAACCCGG